rnacentral:rRNA from 1 species
UACAGAGGUCUCAAGCGUUUGUUCGGAUUCAUUGGGCGUAAAGGGUGCGUAGGCGGCGCGGUAAGUCGGGUGUGAAAUCUCGGAGCUUAACUCCGAACUGACAUUCGAUACUGCCGUGCUUGAGGACUGGAGAGGAGACUGGAAUUUACGGUGUAGCGGUGAAAUGCGCAGAUAGUCAGGAGGAACACCGGUGGCGAAGGCGGGUCUCUGGGGCCGAUACUGACGCUGAGGAGCGAAAGCGUGGGGGAGCGAACAGG